rnacentral:sRNA from 1 species
GGAUGCGAUCAUACCAGCA